UGAAAUCCUACGUAUCCGAAAACCAGGAC
rnacentral:sRNA from 1 species